rfam:Candidatus Thorarchaeota archaeon AB_25 ThorAB25_contig000097, whole genome shotgun sequence.
GGGCCGGUAGAUCAGCCUGGUAGAUCGUUCGGUUCGCAAACCUACUGGUUUGGCCUGUAGGUCGAAUGUCCGGGAGGUCGCGAGUUCAAAUCUCGCCCGGUCCA